AUGCCAACCCUUUUCAAUAUAUCAAAUACAGAACACGCUGAGAAGUGGACCCACUCCUCCUCUCCACUUCACCCGCUCCUCCUCUCCAUUAUCCACUCGACCCACUCCUCCUCUCCGCCGCUGGCAUCCCCUUCUCCUCCAUCGAUGGCGACGACCUCCCUGGCGACCCACUACUCCAUCGACGGAGAUGGCGAUGGCCUCCUAAGGUAUGAAUCUGCCAACUCCUUCCUGUUCCUCUUCCUAUUGAUUAGAUUAGGGUUCCAUGGCACAUGCUGUUUAGGGUUCGAUUGUAGCCGAAGUAGAUCCACGGGAUCAAGAGGAGGCCUCCACCCUCUGCGUCCACGACACCCUCUGCAGUCGCCGCCCCACCCCCAGAGAAGUGAGAUGGCUGGCAUGGAAGGUUUUGAGUUCUUCGAGAUCGUAAUGGAGAAAUCUUGCAGUAGGCAGAGGCUGCCUCACAAGUUUGUGAAGAUGCUCGCCGGUCGUGAGCCCCACAAAGUGAAGCUGCGGGAGGCCGGUAGCAGGCGUCGCAGGCUAUGGGACGUGGUGGUGGUGUUCGACGGCGAAGGCCACAUGUACUUAGGGAUCGGCUGGGAGCAUUUCACCCACGCCCAUGAGCUGCAUCUUGGGCACCUCCUUGUCUUCCGCUACGAUGGCGACGCCAUGUUCACCGUGAAGAUGUUCGACAACACCAUGUGUUGCAUGUACUACCAGCACGAUGACGAUGCCAGCAAUGGGAGCAGCAGCGGGGAUGAUGAGGAGCAGAGUGGGAAAGAAGAGGAGCAGAGCAGGGAUGACGAGGAGCAGAGCGGGGAUGACGAGGAGUAG
rnacentral:rRNA from 1 species